rnacentral:rRNA from 1 species
UACGUAGGGGGCAAGCGUUGUCCGGAUUUAUUGGGCGUAAAGCGCGCGCAGGCGGUUUAUUAAGUCUGAUGUGAAAGCCCACGGCUCAACCGUGGAGGGCCAUUGGAAACUGGUAGGCUUGAGUGCAGGAGAGGAGAGCGGAAUUCCCGGUGUAGCGGUGAAAUGCGUAGAUAUCUGGAGGAACACCGGUGGCGAAGGCGGCAUCCUGGACCGGCAUUGACGCUGAGGCGCGAAAGCUAGGGGAGCAAACGGG